UCGGAGCAGGCAGGGCGGCCGCGGGGACGCAGAGCUGCACCCGGCGCGGGUCCAAGCGUUGCUGGUAGCUGCUGUGCUUUGGACACGUGGCGGCUACGCAGGGAGGAGAAAAAGCGCGGGUGGACCUGGGUCCCAUUAACCUGGACAGACACCUCCGAGAUGAGCGUGAGGGGGCUGCUGGAUCUGUUCUUCUUUCACAGCUGUAUCCUGAAGAAUGGCAGUGAGCCGGAAGAGCCACAGGAUUCGGCAAAGACGGACACACAGAGCCCAGCUCACGGCAAAUCUCAAUGGAUAUUUGUUGGAAGAAUUAAUGAAUGUGUCGAAGCCUUUUCUAUAGCACAUAUUUGUUCAACUUUGGCAUCCACUACAUGCCGGGAACAUCCUAGGGCCUGGGGACACAGCAAUGACCACGACAGAGAUCCCUGACCUCAUGAAACAGAUGUUCUAGGGCAGACAUUGACAAGCUUCACCCUUGGGCCCAAAUCUGGCCCUCCACCUGUUUUGGCACAGCCUACAAUCUAAAUAGUCUUUACAUGUUUAAGUGGUUAGGAAAAAAGAAACCAAAAGAGGAAAUUUUGUGAGGUGUGAAAAUCAUGUAAAAUUCAAAUUCCGGUGUCUAUAAAUAAUGUCUUCAUGAAA